rnacentral:rRNA from 1 species
CACGUAGGGCGCAAGCGUUGUCCGGAAUUAUUGGGCGUAAAGAGCUCGUAGGCGGUCUGUUACGUCUGCUGUGAAAACCCAGGGCUUAACCCUGGGCUUGCAGUGGAUACGGGCAGACUAGAGGCAGGUAGGGGAGAAUGGAAUUCCCGGUGUAGCGGUGAAAUGCGCAGAUAUCGGGAGGAACACCGGUGGCGAAGGCGGUUCUCUGGGCCUGACCUGACGCUGAGGAGCGAAAGCGUGGGGGGCGAACAGG